CCUACGGGAGGCAGCAGUGAGGAAUAUUGGUCAAUGGACGAGAGUCUGAACCAGCCAAGUAGCGUGAAGGAUGACUGCCCUAUGGGUUGUAAACUUCUUUUAUGUGGGAAUAAAAUGUUCCACGUGUGGGGUUUUGUAUGUACCAUAUGAAUAAGGAUCGGCUAACUCCGUGCCAGCAGCCGCGGUAAUACGGAGGAUCCGAGCGUUAUCCGGAUUUAUUGGGUUUAAAGGGAGCGUAGGUGGAUUGUUAAGUCAGUUGUGAAAGUUUGCGGCUCAACCGUAAAAUUGCAGUUGAAACUGGCAGUCUUGAGUACAGGAGAGGUGGGCGGAAUUCGUGGUGUAGCGGUGAAAUGCUUAGAUAUCACGAAGAACUCCGAUUGCGAAGGCAGCUCACUGGACUGCAACUGACACUGAGGCUCGAAAGCGUGGGGAGCAAACAGGAUUAGAUACCCCUGUAGUC
rnacentral:rRNA from 1 species